rnacentral:rRNA from 1 species
CGUCGACCGGCGCACGGGUGAGUAACGCGUAUCCAACCUGCCCACCACUUGGGGAUAACCUUGCGAAAGUAAGACUAAUACCCAAUGACGUCUCUAGAAGACAUCUGAAAGAGAUUAAAGAUUUAUCGGUGAUGGAUGGGGAUGCGUCUGAUUAGCUUGUUGGCGGGGUAACGGCCCACCAAGGCAACGAUCAGUAGGGGUUCUGAGAGGAAGGUCCCCCACAUUGGAACUGAGACACGGUCCAA